rnacentral:rRNA from 1 species
CAGCCCUAAACGAUGCGCGUUAGGUGUAUCGGUGACCACGAGUCACCGAGGUGCCGAAGGGAAACCGUGAAACGUGCCGCCUGGGAGGUACGGUCGCAAGGCUGAAACUUAAAGGAAUUGGCGGGGGAGGCACCACAACGGGUGGAGCCUGCGGUUUAAUUGGACUCAACGCCGGGAAGCUCACCGGAUAAGACAGCGGAAUGAUUGCCGGGCUGAAGACCCUGCAUGACCAGCUGAGAGGAGGUGCAUGGCGUAGUCGUGU